rnacentral:rRNA from 1 species
UACGUAGGAGACGAGCGUUGUCCGGAAUUACUAGGCGUAAAGGGCGCGCAGGCUGUAGAUCAAGUCAGCUGUGAAAUGUCUGGGCUUAACCCGGGCAUGCGGUUGAAACUGAUGUACUGGAGUGCUGUAGAGGCAAGUGGAAUUCCCAGUGUAGCGGUGAAAUGCGUAGAUAUUGGGAAGAACACCGGUGGCGAAGGCGACUUGCUGGGCAGCAACUGACGCUGAGGCGCGAAAGCCAGGGGAGCAAACGGGGAUUA